rnacentral:rRNA from 1 species
GAUGAACGCUAGCGGCAGGCUUAAUACAUGCAAGUCGUGGGGCAGCGCGGGUAGCAAUACCUGGCGGCGACCGGCAAACGGGUGCGGAACACGUACGCAACCUUCCUUUAAGCGGGGAAUAGCCCAGGGAAACUUGGAUUAAUACCCCAUAAGAUUAUGGUGUGGCAUCACACAGUAAUUAAAGCUCCGGCACUUAAAGAUGGGCGUGCGGCUGAUUAGGUAGUUGGCGGGGUAACGGCCCACCAAGCCUACGAUCAGUAACUGGUGUGAGAGCACGACCAGUCACACGGGCACUGAGACACGGGCCCGACUCCUACGGGAGGCAGCAGUAAGGAAUAUUGGUCAAUGGACGCAAGUCUGAACCAGCCAUGCCGCGUGGAGGAUGAAGGCCU